UUAMCCCSSUKGACUUAAGCAUAUCAAUAACGGAGGAAAAGAAACCAACCGGGAUUGCCUUAGUAACGGCGAGUGAAGCGGCAAAAGCUCAAAUUUGAAAUCUGGUACUUCGGUGCCCGAGUUGUAAUUUGUAGAAGGUAACUUUGGGGCUGGUCCUUGUCUAUGUUCCUUGGAACAGGACGUCAUAGAGGGUGAGAAUCCCGUGUGGCGAGGAUCCCAGUUCUUUGUAAAGUGCUUUCGAAGAGUCGAGUUGUUUGGGAAUGCAGCUCUAAGUGGGUGGUAAAUUCCAUCUAAAGCUAAAUAUUGGCGAGAGACCGAUAGCGAACAAGUACAGUGAUGGAAAGAUGAAAAGAACUUUGAAAAGAGAGUGAAAAAGUACGUGAAAUUGUUGAAAGGGAAGGGCAUUUGAUCAGACAUGGUGUUUUGCGCCCUCUGCUCCUUGUGGGUGGGGGAAUCUCGCAGCUCACUGGGCCAGCAUCAGUUUUGGCGGCAGGAUAAAUCUGCAGGAAUGUAGCUUGCCUCGGUAAGUGUUAUAUCCUGUAGAAAUACUGCCAGCUGGGACUGAGGACUGCGACUUACGUCAAGGAKCUGUCAUUASRUCYKKKSCAU
rnacentral:rRNA from 1 species